UCAGAGCGAACGUUAGCGGCGGGCUUACACAUGCAAGUCGAACGAGAAAGUACUUCGGGUGCGAGUAAAGUGGCGCACGGGUGAGUAACGCGUGGGUAAUCUACCCCACCGGCGCGGGACAACGGUCCGAAAGGACCGCUAAUACCGCAUACGUUGUUGACGGCUUCGGCUGUUACCAAGAAAGGGUGGCUUCGGCUAUCGCCGGGGGAUGGGCCCGCGUCCCAUCAGCUUGUUGGUAGGGUAAUGGCCUACCAAGGCUAAGACGGGUAGCUGGUCUGAGAGGAUGAUCAGCCACACUGGAACUGAGACACGGUCCAGACUCCUACGGGAGGCAGCAGUGGGGAAUAUUGGACAAUGGGCGCAAGCCUGAUCCAGCCACGCCGCGUGUGUGAUGAAGGCCUUCGGGUCGUAAAGCACUGUGGAGGGGGAAGAAUAAGUUGGGGGAAUAAUACCCCUCAGCCCUGACGGUACCCCUUUAGCAAGCACCGGCUAACUCCGUGCCAGCAGCCGCGGUAAUACGGAGGGUGCAAACGUUGCUCGGAAUCAUUGGGCGUAAAGCGCGUGUAGGCGGCUAGUUAAGUCGGAUGUGAAAGCCCUGGGCUCAACCCAGGAAUUGCGUUCGAUACUGGCUAGCUAGAGUACAGGAGAGGGUUGUGGAAUUCCCGGUGUAGAGGUGAAAUUCGUAGAUAUCGGGAGGAACACCAGUGGCGAGGGCGACAACCCGGACUGAUACUGACGCUGAGACGCGAAAGCGUGGGGAGCAAACACGAUUAGAUACCCUGGUAGUCCACGCCGUAAACGAUGAGUGCUAGAUGUCUCGGGAUUUGACCCCUGAGGUGUCGUAGCUAACGCGUUAAGCACUCCGCCUUGGGGAGUACGGCCGCAAGGCUAAAACUCCAACGAAUUGACCGUGGCCCGCACAAAGCGGUGGAGCAUGUGCGUUUAUUCGACGCAACGCGA
rnacentral:rRNA from 1 species